rnacentral:pre_miRNA from 1 species
UCUUCAUUUCACGCACUCUCUCGCCGGUCAGAGAGGCGAGCGAGUGUGCGAAACGAAGAGU